rnacentral:ncRNA from 1 species
GUAAAAGGGCAAAAUUACUGAAAAGUAAUGACGCAAAGUUAAGUGUCUAAGGCAAAUAAAGCUAUGAUUGACUA